rnacentral:lncRNA from 1 species
GUUCAUAUCCUUUUGUAAUUCCAUUUGCUUUUAAGUUAUGUAAAAUGUUGUCAUCACUCACUGCUAUUAGCUCUCACUUGAGUGCACAAUUCUGUUCCAGACCACAGACUCUUCAGAAAAAAUAGACUCUGCAAGAUCAGUGCUAUUUCCUUGAUGUCACUACAAGGAGAGAGGAAAGUGGCCAAGACAUCCACUGAAGCUAUCCUGUGCAGUCAGAAUGCUUUACUUCCAAAUGUUUGUAUGUUUGUAUCUGCUCUGCGCAACUAAUGUAUGAGAACACAAGCAAGUCUGAAGUCCUCAGUAUUUUCUUUUGAAGUACACCAUACAUUCAAAUCAGCCAAAUGUUUCUUCUCCUAUUGGGACCUCUGAAGAUGAUUAUUUGCUGCUUUAAGAAUAUAUUAAAGUAAGAGUUCUAUGGAAACUGAGUAUGCUGACUUCAUCCUUAUGAUGAUGGAGAUGGACUCAUGAGAAGGCCUGCGUUUUCAAGUCUGAAUGGUGCCAUACAGAAGUGCCAUAGUGCAUGUUGUGAGACAAAAGCAGAAGGGAAGUUUUCCAGUGCACUUUGAACCCUACAGAAACACUUCACUGGGUUGCAGACCACAGUUCAAGAAGAAAGAUGCGGAAACUGACUCCAUGACGGAAAGCACUGCCACUUUGGACCAAAGCACCACUUCAGUUUUCCAUAAACAAUAAAUGCACUCCCUGGUUUUGUCUGAAAUAUGUAAGUCUGUUGCUAGGCUAGAAGAUGAAAUUAACUUCUGAGUUGGUUAAAUUCCUUAAAUGGUAUGGUAAAUAUCUUCUAAAUGUAUAAAGGGUUUUUUUUCCAGUCUUCUCUGACUUUAUUUAUCCUUAUGUAUUCUUUCCAGAAGAAAUUAAUGAAUAUUUGCCAAGUCUUCUCAGAAAAGAAUAGAUUAACAGUUGUACAGAUGUCAUGGGUAUGACAGAGGUCAUUUCAGAUUAGGUUGCUGACUGAAAACAAAUUGAGAGUCACUAGCACCUCUGCUCUCAAAUGGACAUAUUAUACAAGUGGGACAUACAUUUUUGUGGUUUGCAGAAUAAUUUAUUAUUAUUAUUAUUUUGAUUUAAUUACCCAGAUUCAUACUUUUUUACAAAAAAACAGUAUUGAAGAGCAUCUUUCCAUGAAUCCACAUUGAUAAUCUCACCUAAAGGAUAGGCUAGGAUUUCAACUCUGUGAAGCAAUUGCUGACUGCUUUAAGCGAACUAUUCUCCAUCUGAAAUUCUAUUAACAUUUUUUAUAACAGUUUUUAUGAGUAUUAGCCGUGAACAAGUAAGAAGCAACUUGCUUUAGGAGUGCCCUUGUUCUGUUCAGUAGUAGUUUCCACUUCCUGAUGGAGAAUCCUAGCAGUAGUAUCUCUCCAGCAGCAUCUUCAUUGUGGAGAAGGCAAAAGAAACUUGAUGCGGAUGUUUAAUUGUUUAUGAAGUCAUUGACAGAUCUUUUUGAUACACUGGCACAAGGAAGUCUUAAUCUUAAACUUAUUAAUUUAACCUUUAACUGAAAUAGGACUCAAGUCUACUGGCUUAAAGGGAGAGAGUCCAGUAUACUCUCAAGAGAAAGACCAACAGAGGACAACGGAUACUUCAGAAUAACAUAUACUCCUAUGCUCUUGAAAGAAGAAAACACAUGGAGUGAACCAUUCAGUCUAUAAUGUUCAGUUCUGUGCUAUUGCUGCUGUAUAUUCAAACACUACUCAAAUAAAUUUAAAUUUCUUUUGAAGUGAAGUAAGAUAAUCACUAAUCUCUGCUGAACUUGACUAUUUGAAUGAGAUAAUAUGAAUUGCUUUUAAAUCUGGAAACAUGUAGACACUGUUAUUCAUAGAUUGACUGCACAUAGGGGUUAAUGUACAAAGAUAGAAAUCAAAAAUGAGAUGCAUUGGAUAAAGUGUGAAUUCAACAUAUUCUGUGAACCAUCCCAGAGCUGAACAGCUUUGGCUAUCACCAUCUAAUUUUAUUGCUUUCCUGCCUGGUAAGUUGUUCUGUAAGUGCUCUCUAAGAAAAGACCUUGCUGAAAGUUGAAAACUGGACAUCGUUAGUUUAAGAUUUUCUGAUAGCUUCUGUGUUGAUUUUCAACAUAAUUCUGAGAACUUCACUGUUACAAUAUAUUGCUUUUUACAGUUACACUGAGCUGAGGCUGUAUAAAUGAUAUACAGCUGCUUUUUUUCCCCUAGAAAUGAGCAUCUGUAUGAAAAUGGCAACUUCUAUACAAUAUUUUAUUCUGAAAAUUGUCUGAGUUACUCAAAAUGAAGGGUUCUAGUGUCACAAGUGAACACUCAAGGUCACUGUUCAGGUACUUGCAUACCACAGGUGGUGUCAUGGAAAAUUUAGUUUCUAAGCACAUGACCAUGAAAACAACACAAGCAGCCUUAAAUAAAACAGUGGACACAGUUGUAUGGGUAAGAUAAAUCAAAGAAGGAAGUAUUUUCAGAAUCUCAAAGCCAAAUACUGAAAUAAAUGUCUUGAGUGCAUGCCACUGAACAAUUUGGAACAACUCUAUGAUUCUAUAACUCGUACAUUAAAUUUAAAUAAUGUAAGCAGGUUUCCUAUCCAGUAGUUUGAGAAAAUCAGUGAAAGAAUUUUCUCAUGUAUCUACGUCUGCUCUUCUUACAAAAAAAAAAAAAAAAAAGAAAGAAAGAAAGAAAAGAAAAGUACGACUAACCACUAUAUUCCUUCAAAUAUGUGGAAGCAGCAGCCUUACUGUGUUUAAGAAGGCUAAGGGAACUGUUCCACCAAUUAACUAGUCCAUUUUCAAGUGGUCAGCUUAGAAGUAAAUUUAGCAAAUCAGGUAUGAGGCUUUCAAGAUACAUUACCCAUGGUACUUAUAACCUGAUCUGGCUACAUGCAGGUAUAACUUCCUUCUUCAAGAAAUAAUUGUAUGUCAUAUAAAGAAAGAACCAUUCUGUAGCUGUGGGAAAAUAAAAUACAUAAAUAAAUAAAAAACAUUGAAAGAAAAUAAAACAACAAACAACAACAACCUAAACUACCAUAACGCUUUAUUAUGCAGAGAAAAGAAUAAGAGGAUUAAAAGGUAAACGAUAGCCCCCAAAAAGUAAUCUUUCUGUGUGCAACUGCUUUCCUGAGUGCAGAGUCCUGUAGCUCCUUUGGAGGAUUUGCACUCAGAAGUAUGACUGUCCAAUCAACAACUUCAAGAGGAUGUUAUUUCCACUGAAAUGAAGAAGUACAUACAUUAGCAAAAAGUGACCUCGAAACAAACAAACAAAGAAACAAAUAAUAUUAUUUCAAUAUGUUAUACUCCAAUACAAUAUAUAUAUAUAUAUAUAUAUUUUUUUGGCGUAUUGAUAGUAAUUGAGUUGAGGUUAAAGACCAUCAGCUAGAAGAUAGCUUCCUUCUUCAAAUCUACAAGCUUACUUCUUUAUCUCUACUCCAUCCUUAACUGUAAUUAGAGAAGCGGGAACUCCAUACCAUAGCAGUUGAACCUAACUACCACUAAUCUUUUAAUUGAAACUAAAUGAUGGAAAGAUAGAAAAUGAGCAAGAUAGAAUGGAAAAAAAACAACUUCCUUUUGUCUCUGCAGAGUACUUAUCAACCCACACACCAUCAAUAAAUAUAGUGGUAUUAACUAUGCUGAACUUAAUCUUUUCCAUUAAAAUGGAAUACUGAAAGUUUGAAGAGAGGUUUGGAAUCUUGACUCACAGUCCACUGCAAACAAUUUUCUUCCUUUAAAGGGCAAGGGAGGUUGAUAAAAGCCUCAGGAAACCCUUGAUUGUUGCUCCGGAGUGUCAGACAGAGAGCAAUGUCACUUGUCAUUUUCCAUUUUGCACCAGCUGAGCACCUAUAUGUACAUCUGGCAGGCAGCUGCUGACCCAGCUCCUCCAUGCAGGCAGCUGUUUUGAACAAGGGACAGUUAUACAGUGCUCCACGUGAUGGGCUCUAGCAGAGCCCAGGGCACUAGAAGGAAAGAGUCACGGCUACCCUUUAUUCCUCAUGGAGUGCUUUUGCAAAUACCCACAUGAGAUCCAGACAUCAGGACGCUGCACCAUGCACUUUGAAUAUGCAUGGCACAUCCCAGAGGAAACCUAGUUUAUCCAGAUUGGCCUCCACUUUACCUAGUUUGCAACCACUCCAUCAGUCAACAAGAGAGACCAUAGAAAGAUGGCAGAGAUGACGUGUCCUGGAGAAGUGUUUCCUCUUUCUGCAUCUGUCAGGGGAUGGGGAACAUGACCAAAUCUGCUGGUGGGGUAGUCCCAGCUUGGGAAUGUUGGAAACGUUCUGACAGCAGCCACACAUGCUCUCCUCAUGUUGUCUGCUUUGUAACAUGCAUAUGUAUAGGUAUAAACUCCAUGUACACAUCUAUAUUGAACUACACAUUAAGGUUGCCUCAAAAAUUAUCAGAUUUUUUCUUUGGACUUAUUUUUUCUAAGAUGAUUCCUUACAUAUAUAUGCAGACAUAUGCUUGUAUGUAUAUACAUGCAAAUAACAUGUAUAUAUUUAUAUUAAAAUGCUUUUAAAUCACAACUACUCAGGUUAAACAGUAAAUUAUUGCUUGAAGCAGACUUCAGCCUGUGUCAGAUUUUGGAUUUCUCCAGGUUUUAUGUGAUAAUGAAAAAUUUUAAAUUGAUAUAACAUUAGAAAGUGGUGGUGUGUUUUGUUUUGUUUAACUUGUACAUUUAAAUGUAAGCCACUUUUCUGGCCUUCCUAAAUAUUAUGUUUUGAAGUCAAG